rnacentral:rRNA from 1 species
ACUCAAAGGAAUAGACGGGGGCCCGCACAAGCAGUGGAGUAUGUGGUUUAAUUCGAAGCAACGCGAAGAACCUUACCAGGGCUUGACAUACCGAUGACCGGGUUAGAGAUAACCCUUCCCUUCGGGGCAUUGGAUACAGGUGGUGCAUGGUUGUCGUCAGCUCGUGUCGUGAGAUGUUGGGUUAAGUCCCGCAACGAGCGCAACCCCUGUUGUUAGUUGCCAUCAUUAAGUUGGGCACUCUAACGAGACUGCCGGUGACAAAUCGGAGGAAGGUGGGGAUGACGUCAAAUCAUCAUGCCCCUUAUGUCCUGGGCUACACACGUACUACAAUGGCGAUUACAGAGGGCAGCAAUACCGCGAGGUGGAGCAAAUCCCCAAAAGUCGCCCCAGUUCAGAUUGCAGGCUGCAACUCGCCUGCAUGAAGUAGGAAUUGCUAGUAAUGGCAGGUCAGCAUACUGCCGUGAAUACGUUCCCGGGCCUUGCACACACCGCCCGU